rfam:Biomphalaria glabrata isolate BB02 unplaced genomic scaffold LGTN_random_Scaffold207, whole genome shotgun sequence.
GUCAGGAUGGCCGAGUGGUCUAAGGCGCCAGACUCAAGGAUAGAUGAAUCCUUCCCAUGAAUCAUGGGAUUGAGUGUUCUGGUCCACGAAUGUGGGCGUGGGUUCAAAUCCCACUUCUGACA